UAUACAUCUUCAAGUGAGGCCUAUAGCUCAGAUAACCAGGGAACAAGAAUUACUCAAGAGCUAUCUGAAACGACAUAUGAUGAGAUACAUGAAAUAGUUACUGAGGUAUCAAAUACAGACGAUGGUAGUACAAGUGAAACUUUAUCAACUGAUAUAGAAGUAGAUAUAGUGAUUGGAGAACAGAAAGGCGAACGAUGGUUUAACAACUGGAUCUAUAUUACUGUUGCUAUUUUACUAUUGAGCACAUUUGCAAUGCUACUACUACUAUUAAUUUUGAAAAGGAAAGACCUUAACAGUUUUUUCAGUAACGGCAGCUAUGAAAUCAAUGAAGACCGUGCUAAUAAUUGUGAU